rnacentral:rRNA from 1 species
CCUACGGGGGGCUGCAGUGGGGAAUAUUGGACAAUGGGGGGAACCCUGAUCCAGCCAUGCCGCGUGUGUGAAGAAGACCCUCGGGUUGUAAAGCACUUUCAGUGAGGAAGAACGCCUGGUGGUUAAUACCCAUCAGGAAAGACAUCACUCACAGAAGAAGCACCGGCUAACUCCGUGCCAGCAGCCGCGGUAAUACGGAGGGUGCGAGCGUUAAUCGGAAUUACUGGGCGUAAAGCGCGCGUAGGUGGCUUGAUAAGCCGGUUGUGAAAGCCCCGGGCUCAACCUGGGAACGGCAUCCGGAACUGUCAAGCUAGAGUGCAGGAGAGGAAGGUAGAAUUCCCGGUGUAGCGGUGAAAUGCGUAGAGAUCGGGAGGAAUACCAGUGGCGAAGGCGGCCUUCUGGACUGACACUGACACUGAGGUGCGAAAGCGUGGGUAGCAAACAGGAUUAGAUACCCGAGUAGUC